rnacentral:rRNA from 1 species
AGCGACGCCGCGUGAGUGAAGAAGUAGUUCGCUAUGUAAAGCUCUAUCAGCAGGGAAGAUAGUGACGGUACCUGACUAAGAAGCUCCGGCUAAAUACGUGCCAGCAGCCGCGGUAAUACGUAUGGAGCAAGCGUUAUCCGGAUUUACUGGGUGUAAAGGGAGUGUAGGUGGCCAGGCAAGUCAGAAGUGAAAGCCCGGGGCUCAACCCCGGGACUGCUUUUGAAACUGCAGGGCUAGAGUGCAGGAGGGGCAAGUGGAAUUCCUAGU